AACGAACGCUGGCGGCGCGCCUAAUACAUGCAAGUCGAGCGAGAAGACGUAGCAAUACGUUUGUAAAGCGGCGAACGGGUGAGGAAUACAUGGGUAACCUACCCUCGAGUGGGGAAUAACUAGCCGAAAGGUUAGCUAAUACCGCGUACGCUCCUUGGACUUCGGUUCAGGGAGGAAAGCGAUACCGUGGGUAUCGCGCUCAUGGAUGGGCUCAUGUCCUAUCAGCUUGUUGGUGAGGUAACGGCUCACCAAGGCUUCGACGGGUAGCUGGUCUGAGAGGACGAUCAGCCACACUGGCACUGCGACACGGGCCAGACUCCUACGGGAGGCAGCAGUAAGGAAUAUUGCGCAAUGGGCGAAAGCCUGACGCAGCGACGCCGCGU
rnacentral:rRNA from 1 species